GGCCUGGUGGCGUAACGGUAACGCGCAGUCAACCUCUCCGCGACAUUACAAUUGCGAGUCCCUCGUUCGAUUCGAGGUCAGGCCG